GGGGAAUAUUGCACAAUGGGGGAAACCCUGAUGCAGCAACGCCGCGUGAGUGAUGAAGGCCUUCGGGUUGUAAAGCUCUGUCUUCAGGGACGAUAAUGACGGUACCUGAAGAGGAAGCCACGGCUAACUACGUGCCAGCAGCCGCGGUAAUACGUAGGAGGCGAGCGUUGUCCGGAAUUACUGGGCGUAAAGGGCGCGUAGGCGGCCUGUUAAGUCAGAUGUGAAAACCCCAGGCUCAACCUGGGGACUGCGUAUGAAACUGAUGGGCUAGAGUGUCGGAGAGGGAAGCGGAAUUCCUAGUGUAGCGGUGAAAUGCGUAGAUAUUAGGAGGAACACCAGUGGCGAAGGCGGCUUUCUGGACGAUAACUGACGCUGAGGCGCGAAAGCGUGGGGAGCAAAC
rnacentral:rRNA from 1 species